rnacentral:rRNA from 1 species
GACGAACGCUGGCGGCGUGCUUAACACAUGCAAGUCGAACGGUGAAGGGACUGGUUUUGCUGGUCCUGGAUGAGUGGCGAACGGGUGAGUAACACGUGAGUAACCUGCCCCCUUCUUCUGGAUAACCGCAUGAAAGUGUGGCUAAUACGGGAUAUUCUGGGUCUGUCGCAUGGUGGGCCUGGGAAAGAUUGCGCCUUUUUUGGUGUUUUUGGUGGGGGAUGGGCUCGCGGCCUAUCAGCUUGUUGGUGGGGUGAUGGCCUACCAAGGCGGUGACGGGUAGCCGGCCUGAGGGGGUGGACGGUCACACUGGGACUGAGACACGGCCCAGACUCCUACGGGAGGCAGCAGUGGGGAAUAUUGCACAAUGGGCGCAAGCCUGAUGCAGCGACGCCGCGUGAGGGAUGGAGGCCUUCGGGUUGUGAACCUCUUUCGCCAGUGAAGCAGGCCUGCCUCUUUUUGUGGGUGGGUUGACGGUAGCUGGAUAAGAAGCGCCGGCUAACUACGUG